GAAAAAGAAAAAAAACAAAU
rnacentral:miRNA from 1 species